UCCUGGCCAGAGGCGUUCACAACUGGGCAGUCUAGGCACGAGACCCCUUCAGGAAGGGGGUGGGGGUGGGAGAAAGGUCUCAGACCCUCCCCCAUCCUCAUCUGUCUUGCCUGACUCUCUCGAGCCAACCGCUCUUCCGAGCCACCCACCACCCCAGUGCACAUCUUCCUUCAGCCCCCGAAGCCCCAUCCUGGGGAUGAGAUAGGGGACUUGGGAGUGGAAGGACAACAGGAAAGGUCCAUAGCUCAGGGAUGUGAAAGACGCUCUAGUCGAUGCUUUCCAUUUUUACAGACGAGGCAAACGAGGGCCAGGGAGGAGAUGUCUAGUUCUAGGGCACACAGGUGUGGGAAGUUCCUGGUGUAGGAAAUGCCUCUUGUGAUCAGCAGCACAUCAAGCUGAAGCAGUAUGGUAGCCUGAGGACGAUAUGGGAAGCAACAUGUGCCAGGAAAAUCAGGGUCAUGCUUGGGGAUUGCUUGAAGAUCAUUGAGGCGAAAAGAUUUCACAUCUAGCAAGUGUCAGCGGCAAUAUUAGGACCCAUGUUUUUUUUUUUUUUUUUUUUGACACCAUACCCAAUACUUCAUUGAGGAUUCCAAAAUAAUAAUCUUAUUUUAAAAAAAGAAAUGUUAGUCUGAAUGAUUAUUGAUUACUCUUAACUAUUGAUUGCUACUAUUGAUUGAACUAUUAUUGAUAUUUGUGAUCACUGCUUUUUUUUCUAAAUAUUUACAAACUGCCCUUUUAAUUCAUU